rnacentral:tRNA from 1 species
CCGGUGUUGGAGUGGCCGGUGUUGAACCAUCCGGUGUUGAUGUUGCCGGGGUUGAAGUCGCCGGAGUUCGUGUCGCCGGCGUUGAA